rnacentral:rRNA from 1 species
CCUACGUGAGGCAGCAGUAGGGAAUCUUCCACAAUGGGCGAAAGCCUGAUGGAGCAACGCCGCGUGGGUGAAGAAGGUCUUCGGAUCGUAAAACCCUGUUGUUAGAGAAGAAAGUGCGUGAGAGUAACUGUUCACGUUUCGACGGUAUCUAACUAGAAAGCCACGGCUAACUACGUGCCAGCAGCCGCGGUAAUACGUAGGUGGCAAGCGUUAUCCGGAUUUAUUGGGCGUAAAGGGAACGCAGGCGGUCUUUUAAGUCUGAUGUGAAAGCCUUCGGCUUAACCGGAGUAGUGCAUUGGAAACUGGGAGACUUGAGUGCAGAAGAGGAGAGUGGAACUCCAUGUGGAGCGGUGAAAUGCGUAGAUAUAUGGAAGAACACCAGUGGCGAAAGCGGCUCUCUGGUCUGUAACUGACGCUGAGGUUCGAAAGCGUGGGUAGCAAACAGGAUUAGAUACCCGUGUAGUC